UUGAACGCUGGCGGGAUGCUUUACACAUGCAAGUCGAACGGCAGCAUAGAGAGCUUGCUCUCUGAUGGCGAGUGGCGAACGGGUGAGUAAUAUAUCGGAACGUGCCCAGUAAUGGGGAAUAACUAGCCGAAAGGUUAGCUAAUACCGCAUACGACCUACGGGUGAAAGCAGGGGAUCUUAGGACCUUGCGUUAUUGGAGCGGCCGAUAUCUGAUUAGCUUGUUGGUGGGGUAAAAGCCUACCAAGGCAACGAUCAGUAGCUGGUCUGAGAGGACGAUCAGCCACACUGGAACUGAGACACGGUCCAGACUCCUACGGGAGGCAGCAGUGGGGAAUUUUGGACAAUGGGGGAAACCCUGAUCCAGCCAUCCCGCGUGAGUGAAGAAGGCCUUCGGGUUGUAAAGCUCUUUCGAAAGUGAAGAAAACUUAUUUCAUAAUAUGUUAUGAGUAUGACGGUAACUUUAGAAGAAGCACCGGCUAACUACGUGCCAGCAGCCGCGGUAAUACGUAGGGUGCGAGCGUUAAUCGGAAUUACUGGGCGUAAAGCGUGCGCAGGCGGUUUUGUAAGUCAGAUGUGAAAUCCCCGAGCUUAACUUGGGAACUGCGUUUGAAACUACAAGACUAGAGUGUGUCAGAGGGGGGUAGAAUUCCACGUGUAGCAGUGAAAUGCGUAGAGAUGUGGAGGAAUACCAAUGGCGAAGGCAGCCCCUGGGAUAACACUGA
rnacentral:rRNA from 1 species